rnacentral:tRNA from 1 species
GCAUCCAUGGCUGAAUGGUUAAAGCGCCCAACCUAAUAAUAAUAAAGUAAAGAGGCAAGUAGGUUCGAUUCCUGCUGGAUGCA